rnacentral:lncRNA from 1 species
UGUGUUUUAUUCUUUUUUUUAUUAUUUUUUUUACAGAGUGAAGAUCUUUCUGUUACUGGAUCUCAGCACCAUCAGCUGGGAUUGCUUAAAGAGAUGCCAUGGCUCUGGGAACGGGGUGUGUGCGCCAAAAAAGCACCAAGGAGGAACUGGAGCCUUGGCAGGACCGGGAGGGUGCCCAGAGAAGCUCUGCAAGCAGAAUGAGUGCCUUCACCCCUCUGUCAUCACCAGCCCCUGAGAGCAAUCACCACCCACCAACAGUUCCUGGAGAUAAGGCCGAGCCAGCUGGGAGAAGAAAGCCUUUGAUAUUCCCUGCCUUGCUGACUGCGUUUCUCACAGCUCACGUCUGGAGUGGGCCAGGGGAGGUGGCUGGACACGAAAGAAUAACACUGAUGGGGGAUGCAGGGAAGGUGUUAAUCUUCUGCCAUGUGUGUAGAAAAACUGAAAGCCCCAUGUCACCCAAGAUCUAUGGUAAAGCAUCACACAGAAGACAGCCAUGGUCCUCAUCCACCUCAGGCUUGAUGUGCACCAGCAUCUCCCCAUCUCCCUCAGGACCUGAGCACUGCCCUGGAAAAGCUGUGAAGGGGAAAGUGCCAGCAAAGGGAGAUGGAUGGAAAUCAUGUCCUGCUGUUCACUCAGCUCUGAAGCUUGUGGAAAUAUUUUACAGCUCCAAGAAGAUGAAUAGUUGCAAUUUUUAA